rfam:Cavia porcellus supercont2_6 genomic scaffold, whole genome shotgun sequence.
GGGGAUUUAGCUCAGCGGCAUAAGCGCCUGCCUUGCAAGCAGGAAGUCGUGAGUUCGAUCCCCG